rnacentral:ncRNA from 1 species
ACAGUACAAACUGAGCAGGCGAUGACCCGUUUGGGCAUGGGGCCGGGCCGCUGAUGCGGCAGCAGAUUGUUUUUAACAUCUGUGGGACAGU